CCUACGGGUGGCUGCAGUAGGGAAUAUUGCUCAAUGGGGGAAACCCUGACGCAGCAACGCCGCGUGGAGGAAGAAGGCUCUCGGAUUGUAAACUUCUUUUGUCAGAGAAGAUAAUGAUGGUAUUUAAUGAAUAAGCACCGGCUACUUUCGUGCCACCAGCCGCGGGAAUAAGGAGGGUGGAAGCAUUACUCUGAAUCACUGGGCGUAAAGAGCGCGUAGGCGGGAUAGCAAGGGAGGUGUGAAAAACUUUGGCUUAACCAUAGUACAGCAGUUGAAACUGGUAUUCUAGAGUAUGGGAGAGGUAUGUGGAAUGCGUGGUGUAGGGGUAAAAUGCAUAGAGAUCAAGCAGAAUACCGAUUGCGAAGGC
rnacentral:rRNA from 1 species